AUUGAACGCUGGCGGAAUGCUUUACACAUGCAAGUCGAGCGGCAGCGCGGGGGCAACCCUGGCGGCGAGCGGCGAACGGGUGAGUAACAUAUCGGAACGUACCCAGUCGUGGGGGAUAACUAUCCGAAAGGAUAGCUAAUACCGCAUACGACCUGAGGGUGAAAGCGGGGGACCGUAAGGCCUCGCGCGAUUGGAGCGGCCGAUAUCGGAUUAGCUAGUUGGUGAGGUAAAGGCUCACCAAGGCGACGAUCCGUAGCUGGUCUGAGAGGACGACCAGCCACACUGGAACUGAGACACGGUCCAGACUCCUACGGGAGGCAGCAGUGGGGAAUAUUGGACAAUGGGGGCAACCCUGAUCCAGCCGUGCCGCGUGUGUGAAGAA
rnacentral:rRNA from 1 species